rnacentral:rRNA from 1 species
GAACGAACGCUGGCGGCGCGCCUAAUACAUGCAAGUCGAGCGAGAAGACGUAGCAAUACGUUUGUAAAGCGGCGAACGGGUGAGGAAUACAUGGGUAACCUACCCUCGAGUGGGGAAUAACUAGCCGAAAGGUUAGCUAAUACCGCGUACGCUCCUUGGACUUCGGUUCAGGGAGGAAAGCGAUACCGUGGGUAUCGCGCUCUUGGAUGGGCUCAUGUCCUAUCAGCUUGUUGGUGAGGUAACGGCUCACCAAGGCUUCGACGGGUAGCUGGUCUGAGAGGACGAUCAGCCACACUGGCAC